rnacentral:snoRNA from 1 species
AUAGCCAUAAAAAAGCAGUCCAUAGGUGGUACAUCCAUUUCUAUUGACACAAUAGAGACACACAACAAUUUGGACAAUGAUACAUUGUCAUGUGGCCAAAGUGUUGAUACUGGAUGUGACACCUGCAGGCUUCAUCAUCCAUGGAGGAUCACCCUCAUCAAGCCAUCAAGAUCUCAUGAGAUGGCUAUAUUGCACUCUCAUGAAGC